rnacentral:tRNA from 1 species
AGUCCCAUGUUGUAGCGGUUAGCACCUUGGACUUUGAAUCCAUAGACCCGAGUUCGAGUCUCGGUGGGACAU